AUUGAACGCUGGCGGCGUGCUCAACACAUGCAAGUCGUGCGGUAACAGGCGUAGCAAUACGUGCUGACGAGCGGCGAACGGGUGCGUAAUACAUGGGAAUCUGCCCUUUAGUGGGGAAUAACCCGGCGAAAGCCGGGCUAAUGCCGCAUAAGAUCUUCGGAUGAAAGCGGGGGAUCGUAAGACCUCGCGCUGAUGGAUGAGCCCAUGCCGGAUAGCUAGUUGGUGAGGUAACGGCUCACCAAGGCGACGAUCCGUAGCUGGUCUGAGAGGACGGCCAGCCACACUGGGACUGAGACACGGCCCAGACUCCUACGGAGGCAGCAGUGGGGAAUAUUGGACAAUGGGGAAACCCUGAUCCAGCGACGCCGCGUGUGUGAAGAAGGCCUGGCGGGUUGUAAAGC
rnacentral:rRNA from 1 species